CGUAGCAGGAGAAGAGAGAUAAUAGUUACAAAUGAAAGGUCUGAUCUUACAUCUAUCACUUUAUGGGGAGAUUUUGCUGAAAAUGAUGGUGAACUUCUUGAAAAGAUGAAAUACGAUAAACCAAUCCUUGGCUUUUGUGAUGUUAGAGUCUCAAUUUACAAAGGCGUGAUUCCAUGAAGGCGGAAAAUAAAGAUAUUGCAUUAAUACCAACUAAGGCAAUGAAAAGCGCCAAAGAAGUGAAGUUAGUUGAUAUUAUGGAUGGCGUACUUGCAG